rnacentral:lncRNA from 1 species
CUAACCGUUGUAAGAUCCAGAAAAAUGAAAUCAAUCCAGCAACGAAGAUGAAAACGAGCAAGAGAAGAGAGAUCUUGGAAGCUGGAAAGUGGAAACUGGCGUUUGAUUUCCCUCUUGACUCUUCUUCAGUUUUUCUUUCUGUUUCUAAUAUUUCUGACGUUUGAUUUCCCUUUUUCUUUAUUUUUUUCAUUUUUAAUGUCUUUACUCCUAGCCAAAACCAAGGCACCGUUUAGGCUUCCAAUAUUUUCAUGACAG